ensembl:lncRNA
GCUGGUUUGGGACACUAAACCUAGGGGUCAGCCCUUUUGCGCACAGCAUGGGGGACUUGGCAGCAGGACAUGGGAAGGCCCUCUGCCGACAUCCUGGUUGGCAGACCAGUGGGUGGUGAUGGAGCACCAGGUGCCUCGCUGGUGCCACAGCCCCCACCUGCCACCCUUUGCUGCUCUCCAGACAGACAAACCUUGGCACAAAGUUGUGGGGGGGGACGCGCCUCCACAACGCGGCCCAUCUGGGAGCCAGCGUUAUUUUCUGAUUCAAGGAAACAUCUGUUCCUGCCUCUCCUUUCAGAGCGGGCAGGCAGCAGACCCAGGGCCCAGAGCCCCGCCUGCCCGCACUGGGCUGGGAGUGGGG